GGGGAUUUUGGUGAUAAGGUGGAGCAGGUGCACUGAGUUGUGUGGUUUGGUGAUUGCAGAAGGGCUGCAGGUGGGUGGUUGCUGGCUUAGGGCUGCCUCCGUGGGGGCACUGCCUUGCUGUGGUGCUGGGACACAGGAGUGGAACUUGGCCUUGGCCUUAUGGGCUGGAAGAUUUGAAGCGUGCUGGCUGUGUGCCAGCAGGGAUGAAAGCAGGGCCUCAUGUUGGAGGGGUCACCUGGAGGAGGGGGCUCUGGACCCCUGGCUCACAUCUGCACUGGGACUGGCUCUGCCUUGUACUGGACCACGUCCACCUGCCUGCGAGAUGUAGGACAACAUCAGACCUUGAGAAAGCUCCAAGUCCUUUGCAAUGCACAAGAAAAGGUCCCUUAUUGAAACGGGAAAUCAAAUGAGAGUUCAGCGAGUUACUAGAACAGAAAAUUACUUCAAAUGGGAGCAAGUUCUUGCUUGGUGAAGACCAUCUUGGCCACGGUCCCAGCCCUUUCACUGGUGGCCUCUCAGGAGGUCAGCCCUACUGGCCUCUGGGAUUCCUCUCCCCAACGCGCCGAGGCUUUGCAGGCAGUCGCAUCCUGGCUGCUUCUCCCCUGGCAUUAGAGAGGGAUUUCCUGCACAUCUCUGCUGCUUCUUUCCCUUUCAGCAUGCCCUCUUUGGAACAAUAAUAACAUGGCCUUUAAAUUACGGCAUCACAAAAGCUGACACUAGAAUUAUUUAAGAAUAGAAAGUGUGAACAGAUUAAGUGGAGCAUUAAAAAAGAGAACAAUCUGAUCUGUCAAAGUACAAUGACAAAUCCUAUGUUUAGGAACAAUAAGCAUAUUAUAGAUGUGCUACACAUUUGUUUGACUGUGCAUGGCUUGUAUAAACAUUCUUAGCUCAUUUAAAUAGAAGUUCUAGCUUUGUCUGCAUGACACUUUUGUUUCUGACAGCCUAAAAAGAGACCAUUAAAUAAACCAGAAAUUAAAGGGGAAAAUCA
rnacentral:lncRNA from 1 species